rnacentral:misc_RNA from 1 species
UCCGGUUUGUCACCGGCAGUCUGGCGCGAGUCCCCAACUUAAUGAUGGCAACACGCCACGGGGGUUGCGCUCGUUGCGGGACUUAACCCAACAUCUCACGACACGAGCUGACGACAGCCAUGCAGCAUCUGUGGCGCACCCUCGAAGGUCACACGUUUCCGUGCGCUUGCAGCGCCAUGUCAAGCCCAGGUAAGGUUCUUCGCGUUGCAUCGAAUUAAAGAACAUGCUCCGCUGCUUGUGCGGGCCCCCGUCAAUUCUUUUGAGUUUUAGCCUUGCGGCCGUAGUCCCCAGGCGGAGUACUUAUCGCGUUAGCUGCGGCACCGAGGGGGUCGAUACCCCCGACACCUAGUACUCAUCGUUUACAGCGUGGACUAC